rnacentral:rRNA from 1 species
CGCGGCCUAUCAGCUUGUUGGUGGGGUAACGGCCCACCAAGGCAUCGACGGGUAGCUGGUCUGAGAGGACGAUCAGCCACACUGGGACUGGGACACGGCCCAGACUCCUACGGGAGGCAGCAGUGGGGAAUAUUGCGCAAUGGGCGAAAGCCUGACGCAGCAACGCCGCGUGGGGGAUGAAGGCCUUCGGGUUGUAAACCCCUUUCAGCAGGGACGAAAAUGACGGUACCUGCAGAAGAAGCCCCGGCCAACUACGUGCCAGCAGCCGCGGUAACACGUAGGGGGCAAGCGUUGUCCGGAUUUAUUGGGCGUAAAGAGCUCGUAGGCGGUUGCGUAAGUCGGAUGUGAAAACUCAGGGCUCAACCCGGAGACGCCAUCCGAUACUGCGCUGACUAGAGUCCGGUAGAGGAGCAUGGAAUUCCUGGUGUAGCGGUGAAAUGCGCAGAUAUCAGGAGGAACACCAGUGGCGAAGGCGGUGCUCUGGGCCGGUACUGACGCUGAGGAGCGAAAGCGUGGGUAGCGAACAGGGUUAGAUACCCUGGUAGUCCACGCCGUAAACGUUGGGCACUAGGUGUGGGGCCUCCUUAACGGGUUCCGUGCCGUGGCUAACGCAUUAAGUGCCCCGCCUGGGGAGUACGG